rfam:Asian citrus Psyllid, Diaphorina citri - Florida Strain, whole genome shotgun sequence.
GCCAACGGCGAUAGCUCCUUGAAUACACCAGUUCCCAACGGAUCACUAAAGUUAAGAAAGUUGCGCGUGGUUAGUGUCCGGAUGGGUGACCAUCUGGACAAUUGUGUGCUACUGGUU